AUUGAACGCUGGCGGCAGGCCUAACACAUGCAAGUCGAACGAGUGGCGGACGGGUGAGUAAUGUCUGGGAAACUGCCCGAUGGAGGGGGAUAACUACUGGAAACGGUAGCUAAUAGCGCAUCCCAUCGGAUGUGCCCAGAUGGGAUUAGCUAGUAGGUGGGGUAACGGCUCACCUAGGCGACGCUCCCUAGCUGGUCUGAGAGGAUGACCAGCAAAACUGGUACUGAUACACGGUCCAGACGCCUACGGGAGGCAGCAGUGGGGAAUAUUGCACAAUGGGCGCAAUGCUGAUGCAGCCAUGCCGCGUGUAUGAAGAAGGCCUUCGGGUUGUAAAGUACUUUCAGCGAGGAGGCGUUACUCGCAGAAGAAUCACCGGCUAACUCCGUGCCAGCAGCCGCGGUAAUUG
rnacentral:rRNA from 1 species